UAGCAGGUUUCCUCUGAUGACUACGAGUCAUAAUUACCAUACAUGUGUAUGUUUGACAUCCAAUAGCCGAUGAUUGAUUAAUUAAUCAAUGUGCUCUAGUGGUGUCCUUACAUAAAAUAUUCUUUCUGUAUUGAUCAGAAUUUCCUCAUUUAAUGAUCAAUAUGUGAUUUAUUACCACUAUAUAUUUGUUGAGUUAAAAUUUAAAAAAUAAAUUGGAUUUAUUUUUUUGAUUUUUUUUGGACACACAUUGAAAAAGUGACAGAUAAUAAUGUUAAGACUUCUUUUAAAUAAAGUUCGAAAUUGCAUCUUUUAAUAAAUGUAUUUCUCUUAAAUCUGUUUUUGAAUAUGUAUUUAUGCUGGCAUUGCCUUAUGUCAUUGUGCGAUCCGAGGAAUAACAACUGCUGUUUUUUUCUGCCUCUGUGAUGUUUGAUGUAAAAUAUUAGCUAGUCUAAUUAAAUAUUGAUAGGUGUACAUAUCACAAGACAUUAUAGACAUUGUUUUUUGCCAAAGAUUAUUUUUUGUUAUUCGUGUGCUUGCUGCAUUCAGACUUGUUAAUUAAUGCUGCAGCAGACAUAUUUAUUAGACUAAGUGCAACUCUCCAUUUCUGUAUCGUUUUCAAUGUGCUAGUUGAUGUAAGGGGUUAGUAAUGUUGUCUGUUAUAUUUCUGCAUAUAAUGUAUACAGUUGACAAUUUGUUUCUAUGAGAAAUGUCUUUAGGAUUUACUCUGUGUACAUUUACCAAAAAUCCCACAACAAUUAGUGUUCAGUGUCAAAUAUCACUCUUUUGUACUUAUAUACUAUUGACAAAAAUUAUUCAUAAAUAAGUUAUUGCAGUUUGGUUUUCUUUCAGUUUGUGGAUGCUAUUUUAACCAUAGAAAAUGUUUUCAGUAAAUGCCAAAAAUGAAAUUUUUUCCCCCACUAAAAUAUUUUCAAAAAUAUAUUUUACUGGGUGAGGUUUUUUUAAUUGUUAUUUUUAUUUUAUUAGGAACAGUCUUCUGUCUACUUUUAUGUCAGACGCUAAAUUCAACCCGCAAAAAUGGACAGUUAGUUUUGUUAAUCUACAAAUCUGUAACACAGGAUAAAAUGACAAUAGAGUGAAACGAGAGUCUGUGACAUGGAAAUGGAAAAAUACCCUUUUAAAAUAGGCUAGUUCCUUAACCGUUAUUUCUCAGAGGUAUGGCAUGUGUGUGUUAAAAAAAAUAUGAACAAUGCAUUUUGUGGUAUUACAAGGAUAACCACAAACACUUUGAAUGUAUGGAAAUGAAUAAUCUAAACAAUAAAAUGUAACUAAUUUCUAAUUUCAAUUAACAAAAAUGGCUGUAAUAGUGAAAAAUGUUGUUUUUAAAACCUUUAUAUGAAAUACAAAAUGUUCAGCAGACAAAGAAAACUGAAGGUGAAAUAACAGUUAAUUUAAUACAAUAAUAAUUACUACUGCUUAUCCUCCAAAUAUACAUGUAUGUACCAUAAUUGUACUUUAAACACUAAUUGUCUUGCUAAAAGUUUUUUCUCUCAUUAUGUAGAUAUUUGAGUCAAUGAAUCAUGUACUACAUGUAGAGUAGUAUAUUUUUUUCUGUGUUAAAACCCUUAAUUACCCUACCUUUUUAUUGAGAAAUAAUGUUUAAUAUUUGUAGGUUUCUGUAUAUCGUGUACUUCAGAAUUGAAAAUGUUAAAGGUUUUCUGUUGUGAAUCAUGAUAGUAUUGAUAUAGACUUUCUAGAUGGAAGUAUUUUUGGAUCUUUAAAUUGGAGGUCAUUGUUAGUAGAUGUGAUUAAGAGUGAGUGUUACCCAUGACCACAUGACUAUUAAUUUGACCCAUCAAAACACAGAAGGCAUAAAUCUACCAGCAAUCUAAAAAGAGCUAAUAUCAUAUUUACAUAUUUUGCUAUUUAUUUGUAAUAACAACUUAAUUGAUCCCAUAAAUAUUUUUUACAAAUUUAAAUUAACUCUCGAAUAAAAACAAAUGUGUAAUGUGUCAUGUAAAAAGUCACUUUCAUGUCAAACUAGAUUUCUGUUUUACAGUGUCGUAAAAAAAUAAAAAUAAAAAUUGUAAAUUUAUAAAAUAGUGACCUGUUUCAACUGUAGGUAGCUUGUUAUGGCUGUCAGAAAUGGAUGACUUGCACAAAUACAGAAAUCAUCAUCAGAAGCCUUCUGGAAUAAUGUUAGAGUGGUUGCCUCAACUAAAUCAUAACUGCACCCAAGUCUGUCGGUCAACCCUCUAAAGAUUCUCCAAUAAAAAAUAUUGGGUUUUUUUUUUUUUUUUACUAGUAAAUGAAUUUCAAAUUAUUUGGGUGUACAUGUAAUUUUGUUAUGGGUUGUCUAUAUAGUUAAAGGUGUAAUUUUUGUAGUUAAAACCAAAAGUUAAUAAAUAUUUUUUGUGGAAAGCUACAAGUAUGCAGGUUUGAUUAAUUGUGCCUUUAAAACUUUUUGAAUGACUGUUUAUGACAGAAUGUUACCUGGACACAAGAUGGCAUUGGACUGCAGGGUAUAAAAUUUGACUUUUUCAGACAAGCGAUAUAUUCUUCAUGUGGUUUUAGUGUUUACACGAACGAUAUUCAUCUGUAGUUCAAAUACGAAUAAAAAUGUUAAUGGGCCAUGGUAAUCAAACGAGAAUCUAAUACGUACGAUUUUCGUAGCUUUUCUUCAUCAAAUUUCCUAUCAUAAAUACAAAAAAAAACGGAAGAGAUAUGUAUGUUAGGACCAACUUGAAAGCUGCCAUUUACAAUUCAGCACACUACCCCAUCAGUUCUUUUACUGGGGAGUACUUGUUUACGCCAAACAAUAGUCUGAAUGAAACGACAAUAGACAGGGAUUUCCCAGAAGCAUUGAACGUCAUGCUUGCACCACCUUUGUAUCACCGCAGUGCGGACUUUGUAUCGACAGCGAUGCUGAUUUAAAACGGAUACAUUGUAUUUUUCUCACACCGGCAAUGUCGGUCCGUUCUCUUCUUAUUUUCUUCCAAAAACAGUGAUAAAAUUAGCCAACUCGUCCUUUUAGAUUUUCUGACAAACGAUUACAGCUUUUGCACGAAUGAUCCGUUGUUUAUGUUGAUAUUGGUUUUGCAUAACCAACAGACCAAACCAAAUUUUAUGCACUGGACAGUUUCAGACCUAGUAAAAGACCUCAUCAACACUGACUGGACAGUAAGGUUGAUUCUUUACUUUAACUGAUCACAGUAUUAUUGGUUAUUUUAAGACAUAUUCUGGAACAAAUAAAAACAACAUCACAACCCUUUUAUGUUGUGCCCCAUUUGCUAUAUGAAAUCGGUGUUUCUGCUAGAAAGACCUUUUUGGGUAUGGCACUAUGGAAUUGAAUAAAACCACAGUAAACGGGGUAUGGUGGAACUCCCCCAGAAAGAAAAUGGGUUACGUUUAGGGUUAGGGUUAAGAAAAUCAUACAGUAAUGAUAAGAGUAAAUAAUAUGUCAAAAGGUUAACUUUAAAAUAAAAAAAUCUGCAAAAAAAAUUGGGUAUGGUAUGGUGCCAUACCCAUUUUACCCUCUGGCAGAAACCCUGGAAACAUAUGGUAGAGUUGACCCCAAAGUGAUAACACAAAAUUUUAAAGUUUACUUAAAUUACAACACUUAUAUAUGUGUUGCCUCAUUUGCCAUAUGGAACAUAUGGUAGAGUUAACUACAAAAUGACAACACUAAAAUUUUAAAGUUUACUUUUUCACAGUUUGAACAAUGGGUUGCAUUCAUCUAUUUUAAUUGACAUUUUUGUGGACUUUUUUUUUUUUUUUUUUUUUUUUACAUUUAAUGUCACUACCACAUUCUUUUUGACUUUGAAAACUUUUAUGCAUCAAGUUAUGAUACGUGGUGCAAUUUAGUGUAAUUACUUAUAAAAUGAUUUACAUUCUUUAUUAUUAAUGGCUUGUAAUACAUGUACUAAAAAUAAUCGCACAAAGAUGGUUUGUAAUAUAAUAUAUUACCUUUUUUAAUUGUAACCCCUGUUAGAAAAUUGUAAAAUUUCAGUUUGUUGUCUUUGACAUUUUGUGUGCUAUGAAUGCUUGAUGUCAUUUUGUCGUACACUAGCUGUAUAUUCCAUGUUUUAGAAACCAAGAAAGUCAAAUGGAAAUUACAGACUGUGAUAUAACUGCAAGACAGUUUUGUUUUUGUACAUUUUAUAAUUUUCUUAUUAGGCCACUACAUAUAACAGAAAUAGUUUGUUUCUUGUUUAUGUUUUACCACAUAGGUCCAUGACACUUUAAAAACAAAAUUCCACACACAAAACAAGGUAUGGGCUUUUGCAUGAGGUGUGCUGAGGGUACACUAGGAAAAUCAACCAUUGAUUUGUUUUCCAUUCCAACUAAUUCUCGGCAUACUAAUUUCAUCUAUUCUUUUUUUAAAUCUGUUUAUUAGAAGUGUAUGGUAUAGAAGAAUAUUGAGCAGAUUACACACACACAAAUGGUUGCAGAUUAGGGAAUGAAGUGAAGUGUGAUAGACUGAUUUACUGCACACUUAUUUUCACCAUUCUAAACAUCUUUUGGUACUAGCAAAACUCUGAAUGACCCAUUCCCCCCCCCCCCCCCCCAUCAAAAAACAGUUAAUAAAAUUGGUCUUUAAUGUAUUAAUUGAAACCAUUUCUCUAUGGUCUCACUGUUUCUAUAUUAUUUAUUUUGAUAAAAUAUAAUAUGUUUUGGCAAAUUCAGAAUUUAAUUGGUGCUUUCGGGUAAUAAGCAUUUUGAGGGUUUUGUUAAUAGACAGAUGGUAAGAAAUUGUUGACUGUCAUGUGUAUACCUGUAAGCUUUCACAUCACACUUCAGUGGGUGUCCAUCCUUCAUAUUCUCUGUCUGGUAUACUAUAUUACAUGUACACAUGUAUAUUGUAUUGUUUACUAUUAGUGUUUAGUUUUAGUGAGAUGCUUGUUGUAAAUGUACUUAAUAGUUGGGUACCCGUCAUUAAGUGAGAUUUUGCCACAGUGCUGAUCAAAUUUGUUACGUAAUGUGACCACAAAGUAGAAAUCUGCACUUGGCACCAUGAAUGAUGUUUGCACUUUUCAGCAUAUCUUAAACAGAGAGACCAAGAGGUUGCUCUUGCUCGUCUUGACUUCAGUUUUUCAGUGUAAAAUAAUCAAACAAAUGAACGGUCUACCAAGCCACUACUACAAUGAUACUAGUAGGCUGGAUUCUGGCAAAACAUUUUAAAGAUGACUGUAAGAAAGUUUUUUUUAUAUAUUAGCCAGUAGUCAAUGUAUUGUUGUUGGGGUGUUGUUAAACAUUCAUUCAUUCAUUAAUGCUUUAUUUUUGGAUGUUUGCAGUAUAUUAGUAUUUCAUUGGGGCAUGUAACAUACCGGUAUACAGUGAAAUGAAAGAUUUCAUUAGAAACUAGAAGAAAUAUUUAUUCUCACUUUAUAUAGGAAAUUAUCCACCAAUACUAAAAUGGUACAUGUAGGUUAGGUUCUGACAAAGUAUUUUAAAGGUGACUGUGUGUUUGAAAUAUGGUAGUAUUUUAUUAGGGCAUGUAAUAUACCGGUACACAAUGAAAUUGAAAGUUUCAUUACAAACAAGCAUAAAAUAUUUACUCAACUUUGGAGCUAUAUAACUGAAAUUAUCCAUUGCACUGUGCAUUGCAAAAAAUUCAAAUAUCACUGAAUCAUAUGUAAUUUCUUCUUUUUUUCACAUGUAAUAUUUUGUGUGGCAUGGACUACUUCAAAAUGUCUUGUUUAAAUUCAUUAAAAUCUUGUAAUGAGUUUGCAGAAAUUGAUGUAUUUAUUGGAGAAAAGAAAUAUGCUGGUAUGUUAAUUGAUCAUGACAAAUGCAUGUUUAUUGUUAUUUAUUCAACUUAUUGUAGGUGUGUGGGUGUGCGUGGGUGUAUGUGCAUGUACGUCAUUUGUAUUGUAUAGAUAUAAUUCAUUUGUAUUGUAUAGAUAUAAUUCGCCUGUUUGUUGUAACACAAUUAUUACCAUAUUAGUUUGUAUGCUUUGUUUGAUUUUGUAAUAUUUGUCAAUUUUUGCAUUCAUUUCCAUCAGUCAGCCAUUACUGAGGUGCUAACUUUAACAAAUGUAUUAUUUGUAUAUUACAAUAUGAACUAAUGUUACUCAAUCUUUAUGACUUGUGUUAAAACUACGGUGAAGUUAACUGCCCUAACUAUCCUAUUUCCUUUAGGUUUCUAGUAGGAUAUCUCGCCUUCAACCCCAACCCCAUUAAAAAUGUCCAAUCAUUCCUGAAAUGGAUAUCUUCAGUUUAUUGCCCAUGAAAUACGUCUUUAUAAACAUUUAAAACUGGAUACUGAAUGAGAACUUUUGUUUAAUAAAUAUUCUGAAGAAAUAUAUCUCACUACAAUAACUGUAAAUCUGGACUUUUUCAAAGCAUUUAAUAUACUGACUUAUGUUGAGCAGAUGUUGAGAGGUCACAUUGAUGUAUUCCCGUGUACAAGACUGGUUUCGUUUUUACCUGUACUUUAGUGACAUUGUGUACCAUUACAUUUUAUGUACAAUGUGAGUGGUGUGAUGACGACUCCUUCAAUGCUAUAUAUAUAUAUACAUAUUUCUGUUGUACAGUCAUGGCACUAAUUGUCCAAUUUAGCAUUAAUAUUUUCUUCUUUUUUUGUUUUUAUUUCAUACAAUACUGUAAAUAAUAAAAUAUUAGCAAUCUUAAUAUUUAGCGAAAUCCAAAUACCGGGUAAGUAACAUAUUAGUGAAAUAAAAAUUUAGAGAGGUCAUCAUGUCAGAAACUAAAAAAACUUUUAUAUGUUGUAGGAUCAGCUGAAAUAAUGUUUUGACAAAUUUUGACAUUAUGCAGCUUUACAGACAUCUUGAAUUUAGUAGAAAAUUGCAGUAAGGCGCAUGCUAACUAACUAUUGUUAUUUACUGUCAUUUUGGUUUAAUCAGUAGCAUGUAACAUUUGUUGCGAGUUCAGUUAAUCACAGACAAAACAAUCGCACAAACGGUUUUUGGAACAGUCUGUUGUAUGUCUCUUUAAAUUUAGUAUCAUUCGCUAACAUUUUAUACUUGCUAACAUUUCCUGAUUUAUAGUAUUUAUCACCCAUCCCUGAAUGAUUUAUAUAGUGAUACUUAAUUUUAUAUUAUUAGUAGUAGUAUUACUAGUAUUAUAAUAAUUUUCUUCUUUUCUUUAAAAAUUCCCAUAGCACUGCCAGAUAUUUACCGAUAGCCAAAAAUUUGCCAAAAUACGAUUGUUCUGUGACAAAAUAAAUUUUUGUUUUUGUAAACAAGUGACACUUGAAGUGCUGUGCUGUUUGUGUGUUUAUUAAUAUGUGGUUGUGUUUUCUCAGCACUGGUUUGCUCCUCACUUUUGAUCAUUUCGAGAUCUGUUAUUUAUGUCCAUUGUACAAUUUGAUGUAUGUUCUGUGUUUGUACAUUUGAUAAUGUUUACAUUUGUGAAUGUUUGUAAUAUGAGGAAUGACAUGCUUAUUGAAUGAAAUUGAAACUAA
rnacentral:lncRNA from 1 species